rnacentral:rRNA from 1 species
CUCCGGUAAGGGUACCUGCGGAGGGAUCAUUG